GACGAACGCUGGCGGCGUGCCUAAUACAUGCAAGUAGAACGCUGAAGGAGGAGCUUGCUUCUCUGGAUGAGUUGCGAACGGGUGAGUAACGCGUAGGUAACCUGCCUGGUAGCGGGGGAUAACUAUUGGAAACGAUAGCUAAUACCGCAUAAGAGUAGAUGUUGCAUGACAUUUACUUAAAAGGUGCAAUUGCAUCACUACCAGAUGGACCUGCGUUGUAUUAGCUAGUUGGUGAGGUAACGGCUCACCAAGGCAACGAUACAUAGCCGACCUGAGAGGGUGAUCGGCCACACUGGGACUGGGACACGGCCCAGACUCCUACGGGAGGCAGCAGUAGGGAAUCUUCGGCAAUAGACGGAAGUCUGACCGAGCAACGCCGCGUGAGUGAAGAAGGUUUUCGGAUCGUAAAGCUCUGUUGUAAGAGAAGAACGAGUGUGAGAGUGGAAAGUUCACACUGUGACGGUAUCUUACCAGAAAGGGACGGCUAACUACGUG
rnacentral:rRNA from 1 species